ACCGCGCUGCCAAAAAACAGCGGCAACGGCUGUGCCACCCCCAGCGCCCCUUGCCGGGGGCGAUAGGGCCCAGCUCAACUGCUGCGGCCAAAACCCCAUCCUGGCACUGCCCUGGCACUGCCCUGGCACACGGGGGACCAAUUCUUGCUUCUCGCCCUUUUCCCUCGGAGCCGAGGAGGUGCCCGGUGAUGCCAGCGCAGAAGUGCUGAAUGAUCCCAGAUGGAAUAAAUUCAAUUGGUGCUACACAUGUGAAGUGCUCUGAAUGAGGAAUGCAGCAACUUCUUGAGAUACUCACUGUCUCAAACUGAGGAACCAGAAUCUAAAGAACUUUCACUUGCAGGAGCCUCUGAGAUACUGCAGGACAUUUUUUCAUGGAAUCCCAGAAUUAUUGAGGUUGGAAAAACCCUCCCAGAUCAGGGAGUCCAAGGCCUGCCCACCUUUUCCAUGAGGAAAUUGCUCCUGGUGUCCAACCUGAGGGGACAUUUUGCAUGACACUUCUUACUUCAAUAAAGUAAAUAAAAUCUCUG